rnacentral:rRNA from 1 species
AACACUGCUAACGCGGUGCUAAUACCAAAUAAUGCAGCGGAUUCGCAUGGAUCAGUUGUUAAAGUUGGCUUCGGCUAACGUCUAGAGAUGGGCCCGCGUCCCAUUAGUUAGUUGGUGAGGUAACGGCUCACCAAGACCGCGAUGGGUAGCCGGCCUGAGAGGGUGAUCGGCCACACUGGGACUGAGAUACGGCCCAGACUCCUACGGGAGGCAGCAGUGAGGAAUAUUGCGCAAUGGACGCAAGUCUGACGCAGCAACGCCGCGUGAGGGAUGAAGCUCUUAGGAGUGUAAACCUUUGUUAGGAGGGAAGAACGUCAUGUAUUCGAAUAGGGUGCAUGAGUGACGGUACCUCCAGAGGAAGCCCCGGCUAACUCCGUGCCAGCAGCCGCGGUAAUACGGGGGGGGCAAGCGUUGUCCGGAAUUAUUGGGCGUAAAGGGCGCGUAGGCGGGUUAUUAAGUCUGGGGUGAAAGUUUGCGGCUUAACCGUAAAAUUGCCUUAGAUACUGGUAAUCUUGAGUUCGGAAGAGGGAAGUGGAAUUCCUGGUGUAGCGGUGAAAUGCGUAGAUAUCAGGAAGAACACCGGUGGCGAAGGCGGCUUCCUGGUCCGAUACUGACGCUGAUGCGCGAAAGCGUGGGGAGCAAACAGGAUUAGAUACCCUGGUAGUCCACGCUGUAAACUAUG